rnacentral:rRNA from 1 species
GGGUCAGUAGGUUGGUCGUGCCACCGGUACGUACUGGUCUCACUGAUUCCUCCUUCCUGAAGAACCGUAAUGCCAUUAAUUUGGUGUUGCGGGGAAACAGGACUGUUACUUUGAGAAAAUUAGAGUGUUUAAAGCAAGCUAACGCUUGAAUACAUUAGCAUGGAAUAAUGAAAUAGGACAAUCGAUCCUAUUUUGUUGGUUUCUAGGAUUGACGUA